rnacentral:rRNA from 1 species
UACAGAGGGGGCUAGCGUUGCUCGGAAUCACUGGGCGUAAAGGGCGCGUAGGCGGCGUUUUAAGUCGGGGGUGAAAGCCUGUGGCUCAACCACAGAAUGGCCUUCGAUACUGGGACGCUUGAGUAUGGUAGAGGUUGGUGGAACUGCGAGUGUAGAGGUGAAAUUCGUAGAUAUUCGCAAGAACACCGGUGGCGAAGGCGGCCAACUGGACCAUUACUGACGCUGAGGCGCGAAAGCGUGGGGAGCAAACAGG